GAAAUGCGAUAAGUAAUGUGAAUUGCAGAAUUCAGUGAAUCAUCGAAUCUUUGAACGCACAUUGCGCCCCCUGGUAUUCCAAGGGGCAUGCCUGUUCGAGCGUCAUUUCACCACUCAAGCCUCGCUUGGUAUUGGGCAACGCGGUCCGCCGCGUGCCUCAAAUCGACCGGCUGGGUCUUCUGUCCCCUAAGCGUUGUGGAAACUAUUCGCUAAAGGGUGUUCGGGAGGCUACGCCGUAAAACAACCCCAUUUCUAAGGUUGACCUCGGAUCAGGUAGGGAUACCCGCUGAACUUAAGC
rnacentral:misc_RNA from 1 species